GGGUCAGUAGGUCGGUCGUGCCACCGGUACGUACUGGUCUCACUGAUUCCUCCUUCCUGAAGAACCGUAAUGCCAUUAAUUUGGUGUUGCGGGGAAACAGGACUGUUACUUUGAAAAAAUUAGAGUGUUUAAAGCAAGCUAACGCUUGAAUACAUUAGCAUGGAAUAAUGAAAUAGGACGAUCGAUCCUAUUUUGUUGGUUUCUGGGAUUGACGUA
rnacentral:rRNA from 1 species